GACGAACGCUGGCGGCGUGCUUAACACAUGCAAGUCGAACGGUAGGGCCCUUCGGGGUACACGAGUGGCGAACGGGUGAGUAACACGUGGGUGAUCUGCCCUGCACUUCGGGAUAAGCCUGGGAAACUGGGUCUAAUACCGGAUAGGACUCCGGACUGCAUGGUCUGGGGUGGAAAGCUUUUGCGGUGUGGGAUGGGCCCGCGGCCUAUCAGCUUGUUGGUGGGGUGAUGGCCUACCAAGGCGACGACGGGUAGCCGGCCUGAGAGGGUGACCGGCCACACUGGGACUGAGAUACGGCCCAGACUCCUACGGGAGGCAGCAGUGGGGAAUAUUGCACAAUGGGCGCAAGCCUGAUGCAGCGACGCCGCGUGAGGGAUGACGGCCUUCGGGUUGUAAACCUCUUUCAGCAUCGACGAAGCGAAAGUGACGGUAGGUGCAGAAGAAGGACCGGCCAACUACGUGCCAGCAGCCGCCGUAAGAC
rnacentral:rRNA from 1 species